rnacentral:rRNA from 1 species
AUACGGAGGAUCCGAGCGUUAUCCGGAUUUAUUGGGUUUAAAGGGUGCGCAGGCGGCCAUUUAAGUCAGCGGUUAAAUCGUGGGGCUCAACCCCAUUCUGCCGUUGAUACUGGGUGGCUUGAUUGCGGUCGAGGUUGGCGGAAUUCGUUGUGUAGCGGCGAAAUGCAUAGAUAUGACGAAGAACACCGAUUGCGUAGGCAGCUGACCAGACCGCAAAUGACGCUCAUGCACGAAAGUGCGGGGAUCGAACAGGAUUAGAUACCCUGGUAGUCCGCACAGUAAACGAUGAAUACUUGUUUUCGGCGAUAUAAUGUCGGAGGCAAAGCGAAAGCGAUAAGUAUUCCACCUGGGGAGUACGCCGGCAACGGUGAAACUCAAAUGAAUUGACGGGG